rnacentral:misc_RNA from 1 species
GAUGAAGAACGCAGCGAAAUGCGAUAAGUAGUGUAAAUUGCAGAAUUCAGUGAAUCAUCGAAUCUUUGAACGCACAUUGCGCCCUUUGGUAUUCCAAAGGGCAUGCCUGUUCGAGCGUCAUUUGUACCCUCAAGCUUUGCUUGGUGUUGGGCGUCUUGUCUCUAGCUUUGCUGGAGACUCGCCUUAAAGUAAUUGGCAGCCGGCCUACUGGUUUCGGAGCGCAGCACAAGUCGCACUCUCUAUCAGCAAAGGUCUAGCAUCCAUUAAGCCUUUUUUUUCAACUUUUGACCUCGGAUCAGGUAGGGAUACCCGCUGAACUUAAGCAUAUCAAUAAGCGGAGGA